rnacentral:rRNA from 1 species
AUAAGUUACAAAGGGCGUACAGUGGAUGCCUAGGCACCGAAAGACGAAGAAGGACGCGACUACCUGCGAAAAGCUGCGGCGAGUUGGACGUAAACUUUGACCCGCAGAUGUCCGAAUGGGGAAACCCGAUAUGCUAACUACAUAUCAUACGAGCGGUGAAUACAUAGCCGCCGUAAGGCAACCCAGGGAAUUGAAACAUCUUAGUACCUGGAGGAAAAGAAAGAGAAUCGAUUCCGUCAGUAGCGGCGAGCGAAAGCGGAAGAGCCCAAACCAAGAAAUUGGGGUUCGGGGUUACAAAGAAUCAUGACGAAGAAGAAGAAGUGUUUGGAAUGGCACAUCUAAGAGGGUGAAAAUCCCGUAUUCGUAAGAGAGUCAUGGUCGUAACUACCAGAGUAGGGCGGGGCACGUGAAACCCUGUCUGAAUGAGCGGAGACCACUCCGUAAGGCUAAAUACUCUUCGGUGACCGAUAGUGAACCAGUACCGUGAGGGAAAGGUGAAAAGAACCCCGGGAGGGGAGUGAAAAGAAUCUGAAACUGUAUGCUUACAAGAUGUCAGAGACCGUUAAAGGUUGAUGACGUGCCUAUUGAAGAAUGAGCCGGCGAGUUAUGUAUACAUGCGAGGUUAAGGAGAAGAUCCGGAGCCGUAGCGAAAGCGAGUCUGAAUAGGGCGUUCAGUAUGUGUAUGUAGACCCGAAACCCGACGAUCUAGCCAUGAUCAAGAUGAAGUAAGGGUCAAACCUUAUGGAGGUCUGAACCGACGUUCGUUGAAACGACCGCGGAUGAAUUGUGGCUCGUGGUGAAAUUCCAAUCGAGUCGGGUAAUAGCUGGUUCUCCUCGAAAUAGCUUUAGGGCUAGCCUCAGAACACUACAUUUUGGAGGUAGAGCACUGAAUGAAAGCGAGCCGCGCCAAGCGGUAUCAAUUUCAAUCAAACUCCGAAUUCCGAGAUGCUUAUUCUGGGAGUCAGACUGUGGGAGAUAAGUUUCAUGGUCAAAAGGGCAACAGCCCGGACCGCCAACUAAGGUCCCUAAAUUCGCGCUAAGUGUUAAAGGAUGUAGAGAUACUUAAACAGCUAGGAUGUUGGCUCAGAGGCAGCCAUCAUUUAAAGAAUGCGUAACAGCUCACUAGUCAAGUGUCUCCGCGCCGAAAAUUUACCGGGGCUAAGCGCGAUACCGAAGUUGCGGAUAUUUCUAAAGAAAUGUGGUAGGGGAGCGUUCCAUUAGCAUAGAAGCCAUACCGGAAGGAGUGGUGGAGCGAAUGGAAGUGAGAAUGCCGGCGUAAGUAACGAUAAGAGGUGAGAAUCCUCUUCACCAUUUGACUAAGGUUUCCUGGGCUAGGUUCGUCCACCCAGGGUCAGUCGGGACCUAAGACGAGGCCGAAAGGCGUAGCCGAUGGACAGCAGGUUAAUAUUCCUGAACCCGGUUGUGUGCGAUCGCAGUGACGAAAGCGGUUAGGUUUACCCACGAAUGGAAGUGUGGGGAGAUAGUGAUAAGCUGUCGGCUAGAAUCCGACACCAAGUGAAACACCGAAGUACGAAAGGGGUGACCUGAGUAGGAAGUAGCUGAUACCGAUUUCCAAGAAAAGCUGCUAGCUUAAGCACAAUCGGCCCGUACCGAGAACGGACACACGUGGUCAAGGAGAGUAUCCUAAGGUGAGCGAGAUAACUGUUGUUAAGGAACUCUGCAAAAUUACUUCGUAAGUUAGCGAGAAGAAGUGCUCCGUAAAAGGAGCCGCAGUGAAGAGGCCCAAGUAACUGUUUACCAAAAACACAGCUCUAUGCUAAGUCGUAAGACGAUGUAUAUGGGGUGAAGCCUGCCCGGUGCCGGAAGGUUAAUAGGAGAGGUGAAAGCUUUGAAUUGAAGCCCCGGUGAACGGCGGCCGUAACUAUAACGGUCCUAAGGUAGCGAAAUUCCUUGUCAGGU